AUGGCGGCAAAGAAGGAGCUUGCCGGGGAGGAGGCGGAGGCCUUGGGGCAUGGUUGGGGUGCAGGCGGAGCGAGAGGAAGCUGCAGGGGAGCUCGGGGUGCUCGUGCAUUAGCUGCCCGCAUGGCCAGUGGCGGCGAUCGCUGGAGCUCGGCACGGUGGUUGGGAAGAACGGACGACGCCAAUGCCUGCAGGAUACCAACGCGAACCCACCGUGGGAGUCGACAAGGAGAACCGGAGCUUGUCGAAGAUGAAGGAGAACCGGAGCUUGUCGAAGAUGAAGGAGAACCGGAGCUUGUCGAAGAGGAGAACACACGGAGGCAGAGAACUGAGAGAAGAUGA
rnacentral:rRNA from 1 species